UUGCGAGCUAGAGCCCUACCCGACAGUCAGAGCUAGAGGCUUUCCCCUACUGCAGAAUCGUUCCGCGACGACGACCAUUCAGUGGACUGGGGUGUGAUCACUACAACAACAGGUGUAUACUAAUUUGACAGUGUCAUGAUAUCCUUGCUGUGCCACGUCACCACCACAAAAAUGCCAUGUUACUAACCACCUUGGAUGGAGAGCGCAAAAUUAUUGGCUACACCAAACCAGGUAUGUGGCAUCCGAGCCCAUUCAUCCACAAUCCUCACUUAGGUGGUUGCGGUGAGUCCGGGCCUUACAGUAUCUUCUCAUCCGAGCCGAGAGACGCAAUGUAACGCCGGCGGGGAGAGAGAUCGGAGGAGAGGGAGAAGAGUAGAGUUGAGGUCAAGAGAUACGACAAAAUCUAUGUCAGUCAAAGGGGCAUAAGUAAAUAAAAUCCAAGCUUAACAGAGCGGGCACGACCGAGUGGAGCGGGCGACUAACGGGUGGAACUCGAUCCGCCAACUUAACCAGGCAGAUCAAGGAGCCCAGAUCCACUGGUAGAUUGGGCCCACAUUAGCCCAUUAUUGUUUAGUUACUUAUUUUACAACUUGAGCAGUUAUCUUUAUGUAAUUACAUUUCAGUACGCAAUAGGGAAGUUAUAAGUAGCAUUGUAAUGAAAUUAGAAGACAGCAAUGAAAUAAUAAUAUCUUCUUCCCCAA